UACGUAGGGGGCGAGCGUUGUCCGGAAUUAUUGGGCGUAAAGGGCUCGUAGGUGGUUCGUUAAGUUAGAUGUGAAAUUGUACGGCUUAACCGUGCACUGGCAUCUGAUACUGGCGGGCUUGAGGCAGGUAGAGGAGAAUGGAAUUCCUGGUGUAGCGGUGGAAUGCGCAGAUAUCAGGAGGAACACCGAUUGCGAAGGCAGUUCUCUGGGCCUGUGCUGACGCUGAGGAGCGAAAGCGUGGGGAGCGAACAGG
rnacentral:rRNA from 1 species